GAUGAACGCUGGCGGCGUGCCUAAUACAUGCAAGUCGAGCGAACGGACGAGAAGCUUGCUUCUCUGAUGUUAGCGGCGGACGUGUGAGUAACACGUGGAUAACCUACCUAUAAGACUGGGAUAACUUCGGGAAACCGGAGCUAAUACCGGAUAAUAUUUUGAACCGCAUGGUUCAAAAGUGAAAGACGGUCUUGCUGUCACUUAUAGAUGGAUCCGCGCUGCAUUAGCUAGUUGGUAAGGUAACGGCUUACCAAGGCAACGAUGCAUAGCCGACCUGAGAGGGUGAUCGGCCACACUGGAACUGAGACACGGUCCAGAAGCCUACGAGAGGCAGCAGUAGGGAAUCUUCCGCAAUGGGCGAAAGCGUGACGGAACAACGCCGCGUGAGUGAUGAAGGUCUUCGGAUCGUAAAACUCUGUUAUUAGGGAAGAACAUAUGUGUAAGUAACUGUGCACAUCUUGACGGUACCUAAUCAGAAAGCCACGGCUAACUACGUG
rnacentral:rRNA from 1 species